rnacentral:rRNA from 1 species
GACGAACGCUGGCGGCGUGCUUAACACAUGCAAGUCGAACGGAAAGGCCCUGCUUUUGUGGUGUGCUCGAGGGGCGAACGGGUGAGUAACACGUGUGUAACCUGCCCUUGACUUUGGGAUAACUUCAGGAAACUGGGGCUAAUACCGGAUAGGAGCUCCUGCUGCAUGGUGGGGGUUGGAAAGUUUCGGCGGUUGGGGAUGGACUCGCGGCUUAUCAGCUUGUUGGUGGGGGAGUGGCUUACCAAGGCUUUGACGGGUAGCCGGCCUGAGAGGGUGACCGGCCACAUUGGGACGGAGAUACGGCCCAGACUCCUACGGGAGGAAGCAGUGGGAAAUAUUGCACAAUGGGCGGAAGCCUGUGGCAGCAACGCCGCGUGCGGAAUGACGGCCUUCGGGUUGUAAACCGCUUUCGCCUGUGACGAAGCGUGUGUGACGGUAAUGGGUAAAGAAGCACCGGCUAACUACGUG